CAGAGUUUAUCAUAACUCCCAAACCCAUGUGAACAUACCUUACGUUGCCUCGGCAGGACGUGCCUACCCCGUAGCGCCCUACCCUGUAGGGCCUACCCGGGAAGGCCGGGUAACCCUGCCAAUGGCCCACGAAACUCUGUUUAGCAUUGAAUUCUGAACUUAUAACUAAAUAAAGUUA
rnacentral:misc_RNA from 1 species